CAAUAAUGAAUAUUUCAAUUUCUGUUAUUUAACUGAAACGUGUCCGCUUGAAGAAGUUUAUAUAUAUUUUCUCGAAGUUAUCAGACAUUUCAGAGAAUUAUAAUAGAAUUAUUCAAAUUUGCACAUCACCAAAACAUUUUUGCAUUGAUGAUUAUGAUAUUCCCAUGUACGAAUAUGAUUAAAAUUCUUCAUAUAGUCAGGUCACGUAUCCUGAUGUAUUGUUACUAGGCAAUUAAACCAUAAAGAAAGGUUAUUGAAUGGCUGAGAAAUUUUGAUACGAUCACCAUAAUAGAAAUACAAAGGAAUUUAAUCUAAUAAAAAAUAAUAAUUGAAAAUAUAAAUCUCAACAAUUAGAAGAACCGAUCAUCAAAACAUAAGCUAUGGAAAACUAGUAUAGUGAUAGUUAUUAAUUAAAUUAAAUAACAAUUAGUUUACUUUCAUUUCACUAAUUGUAUUGUUUUAAUCAAUAACACUAUCAUCUCACGAUUUGUUUAUCUUAAGGUAAGAUAUAGAUACCCUAGGUCGCACGGAAAAGUAAAGAAAAAGCGUUCAGUUCGCGCAUUGGCGUCACACCUACCCAGACGAGUUGUGUUGUUUGUUAUACUUCUUCUACUAUAAUGCCUAUUUGCGUAGUUUUUGACUGUGAUAAUCACAAUAGACAUACGAAAAGAGAUGGAUUACUUUUUGAAAUGUUUGAGCAUGAAACUUUCUCUGAUAUCAUGAAAAAUGAAGGCUUUAAGUAUUUAUCAUAUAUAGCUUUUAAAUUUAAAUCCAAGUAUCCUGAACUUGGUAACCAACAGCAGAAAUUAAACUACCACCACAAAAUGUUAAUGAUGAUUGGCUAAUGAUGCUUUCCAGAGCUUAUCCUUCAGAAAAUUACUGCAACAUGUCUCUACUAUUAAUGAUAUAUUUGAAAAAUUUCAUGGUUUA
rnacentral:lncRNA from 1 species